AAUGUUUUAGUCAAAUUCUAAGUUUGCAGGCCAUUUUAGAAAGAACGUCAUAUAGUUUAUAUAUAAAUUGUAUACAGUUAAAUUGAUAAAUUUAGAUUUUUUGUUAUUUUUUUAAAAUAAAAUAACAAAUAAUAAUUAGCUAUGAUAAUGACGAUGAUUAUGAUGAUAAUGUUGCAUAACAGAAUUACAUAAUAAACAUUAAAUGCAUUAUAAAUAAAUAAUUAUUGUGAAAAUAAAAAUUAGUCCCUACAAUAAUUGCACAUGUGAGGCCAUGUGCCCAUGUGCUUGUUUUUUGGUUUUUAUUUGGUUUCGUGUUCUUGCAAUACUUUUAUUUUUAGGGAAAAGUUUGGGAUUGUUGAUUUUCGCAUCCUUUGCACAAAUAGGCUACACAUAACUACGUUCUUCUGACAACUAUGUAAAUCAAGCUUUGGUGGGUUUCGUUUUUUUUAAAAAUGUUUUUAUUAUACUGUUUUUCGCCCAAAAUUUACUAUUACCCUUGAUCUUUGCACUUAAGCAGAGUUAAAUAUUUCGCAUUAUCUAUCUAUUUAGAUUCCUGCCUAAAACGUUUCUUUUAAAAGGUAACUAAAAUUGUUUUUGGGUUAAUAUUUGCGUUUAAGGUUUUAGCUUGAUGGUAUUACAAAGCAUAUAUCCAUUGUUACAAAACACAUAAACACAUACCUACAUACAUACAUACAUAAUAUUUUUAUCUUUUGACAACCAGAAACAUAGUAAUAGGAGCACAAAGGAUUCUUUAUUAACUUUAUACACAUACACCUUAACCACAAACAACAAAGAGAAAAUAAGACAACAAUCAAGUGUUUUCACAUAUAUUUAGAUGUAGGCCUAAGUUCAGCUGUGGAUGGAAAAUUUACAGUAGGUCACGCAGUGUGUUUGCUCUUACUGGACUGAUUCACUGAGCUGAGUUACUUAUAGGUAGUGUUUAUGACAUGAUAAAUCUGAUUAAACAUUAUUUUUACCAGUCAGUAAUCCCAAGUGCGUAUUAGGUAGUCAGUAACUGCACACGUUUAUUCCCUGAUUAAAUUGUAAAUUACGUUGUAAAAUAGCUACAAUGCUUCUAAAUUCUUAAUAAAACUGAAAGAUUUAUUUUUAGUCGUGCAGUAUGUGAACAAGUAUCAGCGCAGUUCUUAAACAAACUUUAUGCAACAUAAUGGGCAGAACUGAGAUAUGGUUGUAGUAAGAGACUUACUUCCACAUACCUCAGUGCGCAAGUGCUGGAGCGCGCAUAUACACAAGCACGCACACACACACGACCGCACGCGGGCACGCACUCACACACACACACAAACAGAACAGCUGCCAGCUAUGAACACUUGGCACUUUAGAGGUUAAUCAGCACCAGAGUGUCAUACAGCAAGCUGUCCUUUACCUCACGGUCCAAAUGAGAGUCUGUGGUAAAGCUAGGAGAAUGAUUGACCUAUACAGACACAUAGUUAGUGAGAUUGAUCCACAAUCAUCUGAAAGAAAGGAGACAUGCAAAAGGACAGACCUGUGCUUUGCUCUGAAGAUGAUUUGAGGUAAAGCUCUCAACAUGACUUUCACUGCCCCAGCCCUCUCCUUCUUCCUCUGCAGUGGGUUGGUAUUGAAAAGAGUCCUGGAUCUCUGCAUCUGCUACAGGAGAGCCCAUGCCUAGAGUCCAA